AGCAUCUAUUGCUCCAUAAAUGGAUACAACUCUACAAGACGACUUGUGACACCGGAUCGGGCGUCAACAUAAUGGCCGCAGUCACCUAUCGGCUCUUGUUCAGAACCAUGCCCUUAAAACCAACAUACAUUCAGCUCCAGAUGGCAGAUGAGAAAUUUAGAGAAGUUAAAGGAAUAGUAACUGAUGUCCCUGUCAAAAUAGAUGAUUAUUUUGUCUACACAGACUUUUAGGUUAUUGAGAUGGGAGAAGACGAAUACGAUCCACCCAUCAUCCUUGGAAGACCAUUCCUCAGCACCGUUAAGGCAAUCAUCUACAUUGGAACUGGAGAAGUCCAUAUGCACUUCCCCUCAGAGAAGGUACGCCGCUAUUUUACUGACCCUAACUAUAUUGUUAAAGAAUCUAAGCACGUUAGAAAGCGACGCAACCGCAACCAGAGGAGGCAAAUCAUCAAGGACGGAUGGGCAGACUACGAAGGAGAAGUGGUAAGGUCAGAAGACGUAGAGUUUAAACAGAACUAUCCUGAGGAGACCGAAGCACCGAGUCAGGUGUGGAGAGAAAAGAUAACCAUACAUGAAGAAGAGGCACCGCCGAAAGUACCGACUCCGCCAUCCAACGUAUCCCAGGACGAAUGAGAAAACGGAGAGUCCCGUUCAGAGGACUUAAAAACACCGAACACCUUGCCAAGAGGUAAACUUGGUAGUUAUCCUUUUCCCUUUCAAUUAUUUAAAUAGCUUGCUUAGUUAAUCAUGUUCAUGCUAACCUAAAAAGAAAAUAAAAAUGUGAAAAAAAAUAGUAAGCCCCAUGUGAGUAUACGAGUGGCAUAAAAACCCAUAAGUACAUUCACUGUGGUGGCAUAAAAAUAAAAUAAAUAUUUCUUUUCUGCUCUAUAAAAUGAAAAUACAAAAACAGAGAGUAAUAUUAAGGAGUCUCAACAUGAUAAAGGCUAGAUAUCUAUGCUAACACUUAAUCAGUUCCACAAGCUUUGUUGUCUAUUUGAGCUCCACAAAAUUUAAGAAUCAAGAAGACUAGCAGACGGAGGACAUUCUAAUCGCUGUCAGAAUGCUGCUGACUUUCAAAUACACCUCUGCCACCUGCUAGCUACAUCAAGAGAAAUUACGUCAAAAUUCAGCUUGGGGGAGAGCACCCCCAUUUAUCUCGAUAAGUAUUUCUAUCUAUCUCUAUACUUAUACUAUAUUAAAAUAUACAUUACUAUGGAAAACUAAAUAAAGAUUUUAUGCUUAUAUAUAUAUGUCUUUUGCUUAGUAUGUUUAAUAAAUAAAUAAAGUGGCUAUGCUAAUCUGUAUCUAAAUAAAACUCUAGCAUGGAUAUGACGAAUAGUUGCUCUACCUAAUUUGCAAAUUUGAAGUUCUCUCACUAGUUUAGAUACAACUGUUAUAAUUUAAAGCUUGCUCUAGACCUAAACUUGUGGGAUGAAAACUUGAUCUGAAGUCUAAGUUGUUAACGGAUAUGAUAUGGGAAGGUUGAGCUGCUGUUUAUCUAUUCCUAGAGAUGCUAGAAUUCUGUAGAAUUUUAUCUUUGAAAAUCUUUAAAAUGUUGCAUGAUGAGUUCCUAUAUGAUGAGAGUUUAAAUUCCAACCACAGCCAUAUAUACAUGCUUGCUAGACUUUGAGCCACACAUUUACUAUUUACUGCUUAUGAGCAUUGAGUGUGGUCAAGCUGUGUAGACCCUUAGGAGCUUGUCAUGUGGUUGAAUCAAGAUUUCACUUGCACGUUCACUCACAUAUGCUGCUUCUACUCCAGAAGUACCAUCCACAUAUAUCCACCCAAUUCCAUCUCCAGAAUCACCCAAAAAUAUUCUACUCCUAAUCCGAGAGAGAAUAACCAAAAAUAUUUCUGUUUUUCCCCUAUGAAAUAAAUGCUCAAGUUAUCUUGUAACUACCACUUGCUAUAUUAUCUCAUGAGAUGAGUGCUCUAAAAAAAGAAAAAAAAAACAGAAAAGAUACGAGGAAAUAAAAAGGGGCAAGUGCCUGGAACCUCGAAAGAAAAGAAAAAGUGAGACGAGAGGUAAAAAUGGACAAGUGUUCGACAGUAGAAUUAGAGGUACAAGAUACCCACCUGAGAAGAAAGAAAAAAAAAGAAAAGAUAGAGCAUCUCAUUCUCCUCAAAGUUUCAAAAAGCAAGGAAGGUAUGUAUCCUCUCAAAGAGCACAGGUAGAAUUAGACUUCCACCAUUGUUAUCACCAUCAUUACCAUACACCAUUCAUUUGCCACACAUGCACAUCUUGAUUUGGCUUAUUGAUUUGUUUCUUUGGAUCCAUGGUUUGACUAUACAAUAAAUGUCUUGUAAGUAUGUAUACUUUAUCUCCCACCUAUGAGCUCCAGAUAUUAAAGCCUUAUUAGAGUAGGGUGAGAGAUAAGGCAAUGUCACUAUGCCAUAUACCAUAAAUACCACAUAUAUUGAGAGAAGGCACAUACCAUCACUGCCAUGGUAAGGAUCCAGAAAUACCACAAAGGAGAGAUUUGAGAGAGUCAUACAAGGAAUCUCUGAGUUUUAUUUGAAAAUCUGCAAAAACUCCAGAGCUAUAGCUGAUCAAGAAUAAGAGACAUGGCACUUGACUAGAAUGUUCUAUCCUUUAACUACUCAAGACAGAAGUGACGGUUACAAGUCCCAUGGUGAAAGGUAAAGUAAGUAAGUUUUAUGUCUUGACAGUUUACUCUAACUCAGAGAUAAGAUCUUAUUAUAAAGCAUGUGUACCGUCAAUUUUAAAAGUAUUGCAGCAACUUCUAAUCUAUCCUUGCUCAGGGACGAGCAAGUGGUAAGCUUGGGGGAGUUUGUUGACGGUCCUUAAGUAUCAAAUUUAAUUAUCAAAUAAACAAAGAAAAGGAUCCAAAUGAAAUCAACAUCUAGACUUAGGGUUUUAUCUGACAGAAUUCCACGAGUUUUGGUGUUUGUCUAUUUCUGCAGGGGGUUAUUAGGAAAUACGAAAGAAAGGCCCACACGUCGGGAUUACAUAGAGAUAUUAACGUGCCGCACAAUUAUCUUACAUCUAGAAGACUCAAGAAGCCACGGGAAGGAAGCGGAGGUCGAACGGGGCCAGGCACUGGGCGCCCGCCCAGUUGCCCUGGGCGCCCGCCCCCUGUUGGAGUCCAAACAGGACUCUCUCUCGGGAAAGACCUCCACCGACCUAAAGGAUCAAGGAUUAUCGUUCAAUCAAUGUCGGUUUGAUCCAACGGCCCAUAUUCACUUGAAGGGACUAUAAAACCAGACCCCCUGGCCACUGGAGGAGAGAGCCUCUCAACCCUAAUUCAUUAUUCUUCAAGGGAGAAGAAGCCUCUGAUCAAGAUUAGAGCCACCACAUCAAUUAGAUAUCUAGAUUAGCAUAGCUACAUAGGAUUAGAACUAGAAGGAGCAAAUCUUCGAUUGGUUUUCAGAUCUGUCAAGAGGAUUCUUGGUAAUUCUCUAAUUGUGCUUCUAAUUGUUCUUCUAAUCAUCUUUGUUCUUCAAUAUUAUGAAUAUGACUUUGUUCUACUUCAAAAUAUUGCUUAUGACUUUGCUCUACUUGCUUAUAUUCAAGAUUAUAUUAUUCUUAGUUUGUCAUAGUUAUGUACUUGGCUUAGUUAGAUUGGAUCUAUAUACAUGCUUAGGAUCGUAUAGCGUUUAUCCAUCGGAUCCAUGGGUAAAUGAUAGAUAUUGUGUAGGCGUGGUGCUUAUACCGUAUUUAUCUGCGAUUGUACCCAAUAUGCAAGAUCGUGGGGUAGUUCGUGAUAGUGACAACUGUUGACGGUCCUUAAGUAUCAAAUAUAAUCAUCAAAUAAAUAAAGAAAAGGAUCCAAAUGCAACCAACACCUAGACUUAGGGUUUUAUCUGACAGAAUUCCACGAGUUUUGGUGUUUGUCUAUUUCUGCAGGGGGUUAUCAGGAAAUAAGGAAGAAAGGCCCAC
rnacentral:lncRNA from 1 species